CUUGCCUGAAACCAUUGGUCCCUAGUUUUUUCAAGACACUUGAAGACCUUUGCCAAAUACCAAACCGAGACCCCUGCCAUCAUUCAACACAAUUGCACAGACGCUAAUCUCUUCAUGGGAAGGCAUGCAUGCCCCACUGCAUCCCUGCAAGUGCAGAACCAGUCUUCAGCAGCGACGCUUAGCGGCUGAAGUGUGAUACAGUUCUGCCGUCCUUUGAACAGUGCAAUUCCUCAGAGUUCCUGGACAAUUCAG
rnacentral:lncRNA from 1 species